rfam:Rhodobacter sp. LPB0142, complete genome.
GGCUAGGUAGCUCAGUUGGUUAGAGCAUGCGACUCAUAAUCGCAGGGUCGGGGGUUCGAGUCCCCCCCUCGCCA